UUCUCGGACGGGUGAGUAACGCGUGAGAAUCUGCCCUCAGGAGGGGGAUAACGGCUGGAAACGGCCGCUAAUACCCCAUAUGCCGCGAGGUGAAAUGAGAAAUCGCCUGAGGAUGAGCUCGCGUCUGAUUAGCUAGUUGGUGGGGUAAGAGCCUACCAAGGCAUCGAUCAGUAGCUGGUCUGAGAGGAUGAUCAGCCACACUGGGACUGAGACACGGCCCAGACUCUUACGGGAGGCAGCASUGGGGAAUUUUCCGCAAUGGGCGCAAGCCUGACGGAGCAACGCCGCGUGAGGGAUGAAGGCCUCUGGGCUGUAAACCUCUUUUCUCAAGGAAGAAGAACUGACGGUACUUGAGGAAUAAGCCACGGCUAAUUCCGUGCCAGCAGCCGCGGUAAUACGGGAGUGGCAAGCGUUAUCCGGAAUUAUUGGGCGUAAAGCGUCCGCAGGCGGUCUUGAAAGUCUGUUGUUAAAGCGUGGAGCUCAACUCCAUUUCAGCAAUGGAAACUAGAAGACUAGAGUGUGGUAGGGGCAGAGGGAAUUCCCGGUGUAGCGGUGAAAUGCGUAGAUAUCGGGAAGAACACCAGUGGCGAAGGCGCUCUGCUGGCCAUAAACUGACGCUCA
rnacentral:rRNA from 1 species